AUUGAACGCUGGCGGCAGGCCUAACACAUGCAAGUCGAGCGGAUGAAGGGAGCUUGCUCCUGGAUUCAGCGGCGGACGGGUGAGUAAUGCCUAGGAAUCUGCCUGGUAGUGGGGGAUAACGUCCGGAAACGGGCGCUAAUACCGCAUACGUCCUGAGGGAGAAAGUGGGGGAUCUUCGGACCUCACGCUAUCAGAUGAGCCUAGGUCGGAUUAGCUAGUUGGUGGGGUAAAGGCCUACCAAGGCGACGAUCCGUAACUGGUCUGAGAGGAUGAUCAGUCACACUGGAACUGAGACACGGUCCAGACUCCUACGGGAGGCAGCAGUAGGGAAUAUUGGACAAUGGGCGAAAGCCUGAUCCAGCCAUGCCGCGUGUGUGAAGAAGGUCUUCGGAUUGUAAAGCACUGUAAGUGGGGAGGAAGGGCAGUAAGUUAAUACCUUGCUGUUUUGACGGUACCAACAGAAUAAGCACCGGCUAACUUCGUG
rnacentral:rRNA from 1 species